UACGUAGGGGGCAAGCGUUGUCCGGAUUUAUUGGGCGUAAAGAGCUCGUAGGCGGUUUGGUAAGUCAGGUGUGAAAUCUCCACGCUCAACGUGGAGGGGCCACCUGAUACUGCCAUGACUGGAGUCCGGUAGAGGAGUGUGGAAUUCCCGGUGUAGCGGUGAAAUGCGCAGAUAUCGGGAGGAACACCAGUGGCGAAGGCGGCUACCUGGACCGGUUCUGACGCUGAUGCGCGAAAGCGUGGGUAGCAAACAGG
rnacentral:rRNA from 1 species